rnacentral:rRNA from 1 species
UACGGGGGGGGCUAGCGUUGUUCGGAAUUACUGGGCGUAAAGGGCUCGUAGGUGGCCAACUAAGUCAUGCGUGAAAUCCCUCGGCUUAACCGGGGAACUGCGUCUGAUACUGGAUGGCUUGAAUCCGGGAGAGGGAUGCGGAAUUCCAGGUGUAGCGGUGAAAUGCGUAGAUAUCUGGAGGAACACCGGUGGCGAAGGCGGCAUCCUGGACCGGCAUUGACGCUGAGGAGCGAAAGCCAGGGGAGCAAACGGG